rnacentral:rRNA from 1 species
GAUAUUAAGUCAUAUCACGCUAAAAACGCCAGUUCUCGUCCGAUCACUGCAGUUAAAUAGCGUUGGGCACGGUUAGUACUUGGAUGGGGGUGACCACUUGGGAGCACCGUGUACUGUUGGCG